UCCCUGAUGGUCCAGUGGUUAAAACUCUGCACUUCCAAUGCAGGGUCAAAGGUUCAAUGCCUGAUCAAGGAA
rnacentral:tRNA from 1 species